rnacentral:rRNA from 1 species
UACGAAGGGGGCUAGCGUUGCUCGGAAUCACUGGGCGUAAAGCGCACGUAGGCGGACUCUUAAGUCAGGGGUGAAAUCCUGGAGCUCAACUCCAGAACUGCCUUUGAUACUGGGAGUCUUGAGUUCGGGAGAGGUGAGUGGAACUGCGAGUGUAGAGGUGAAAUGCGUAGAUAUCAGGAGGAACACCUGUGGCGAAAGCGGCUCACUGGACCAUAACUGACGCUGAUGCACGAAAGCUAGGGGAGCAAACAGG